rnacentral:lncRNA from 1 species
GGCCUACUCGCGCGUCUUGUCACGUAGGCAGGACCCGUUCGCGCGCAUCACAUUGCAUGUGGAAAAGAAGGUGCCGCACACUGUGCGUGUGCUGUCUGCGGAGUAGGUCUAUGCAGAUAGGCUUGCGUGCCUGGGGCCCGCACACAGGCCAGCCCACCUCGGACGGUGUGCCGUUGCUUGAGAUGUCGCUGCAAGUGGAGGUCUCUUUCCUCAUUUUUUCGUGCCAAACAUUUUUUUAUUCUCUCUCUUCACCAAAUUUUGUCACUCGGCGCAAAUCCAACAUCUCCCAUUUUCUCCUCACUUCCAUUCUUCCACCUUUCAAGAGAGAGAUAGAGAGAAAGAGAGUGAUUUAGAAAGAGAAGGAGAUAAGGAAAAGAAGAACGAUGUAGAAGAAAUUAUCAAGAUUUUAGAAAGGAAUUUAGUAUUUC